rnacentral:rRNA from 1 species
CAGCAGCCGCGGUAAUACGUAGGGUGCAAGCGUUAAUCGGAAUUACUGGGCGUAAAGCGCACGCAGGCGGUUUGUUAAGUCAGAUGUGAAAUCCCCGAGCUUAACUUGGGAACUGCAUUUGAAACUGGCAAGCUAGAGUCUUGUAGAGGGGGGUAGAAUUCCAGGUGUAGCGGUGAAAUGCGUAGAGAUCUGGAGGAAUACCGGUGGCGAAGGCGGCCCCCUGGACAAAGACUGACGCUCAGGUGCGAAAGCGUGGGGAGCAAACAGGAUUAGAUACCCCAGUAGUCCCUGUCUCUUAUAA